UGGGGAAUAUUGCACAAUGGGCGCAAGCCUGAUGCAGCCAUGCCGCGUGUAUGAAGAAGGCCUUCGGGUUGUAAAGUACUUUCAGUCGGGAGGAAGGUGUCAAGGUUAAUAACCUUGGCAAUUGACGUUACCGACAGAAGAAGCACCGGCUAACUCCGUGCCAGCAGCCGCGGUAAUACGGAGGGUGCAAGCGUUAAUCGGAAUUACUGGGCGUAAAGCGCACGCAGGCGGUUGAUUGAGUCAGAUGUGAAAUCCCCGGGCUUAACCCGGGAAUUGCAUCUGAUACUGGUCAGCUAGAGUCUUGUAGAGGGGGGUAGAAUUCCAUGUGUAGCGGUGAAAUGCGUAGAGGUGUGGAGGAAUACCGGUGGCGAAGGCGGCCCCCUGGACGAAGACUGACGCUCAGGUGCGAAAGCGUGGGGAGCAAACAGG
rnacentral:rRNA from 1 species